rnacentral:misc_RNA from 1 species
UCGAAAACUGCACAGCAGAACGACCCGCGCACUUGUCACCUAAACACGGGGGACAAGCCAUGCUUGUGAUUCCUACACAAACGGUGGUGUGGCUGAGACUCCUUCCGUGGCUGUCUAUACUAACUAGCAGCACCGGUCGGAGAAUUACCAUGCCAUCCUAUAACAUCAUCCGGCGCGGAAUGCGUCAAGGAAAAUGAACGUGAAAACAUGCCCUCUACUUAUGUCCGUGCAUUCGGCAUAAUAGAGCGGUCGUGUGUCGUAUAAACAAAAACGA